ensembl:snoRNA
AUCCUUUCACAAUUCAUAAGCCUGAUGAUUGGGUUUUCAGGUGCAUGUGUGAGAUGUGCCUCCCACAAAUCUUCUUAUGAUGUUGGCAUGCUACCAGUCUGACA